GACGAACGCUGGCGGCGUGCUUAACACAUGCAAGUCGAGCGGUAAGGCCCCUUCGGGGGUACACGAGCGGCGAACGGGUGAGUAACACGUGGGCAAUCUGCCCUUCACUUUGGGAUAACUCUGGGAAACGAGAGCUAAUACCGAAUACGACCACUUCAGGCAUCUGAUGGUGGUGGAAAGUUCCGGCGGUGAAGGAUGAGCUCGCGGCCUAUCAGCUAGUUGGUGGAGUAACGGCCCACCAAGGCUUCGACGGGUAGCCGGCCUGAGAGGGUGACCGGCCACACUGGGACUGAGACACGGCCCAGACUCCUACGGGAGGCAGCAGUGGGGAAUAUUGGACAAUGGGCGAAAGCCUGAUCCAGCAACGCCGCGUGAGGGAUGACGGCCUUCGGGUUGUAAACCUCUUUCAGUAGGGACGAAGCGCAAGUGACGGUACCUACAGAAGAAGCACCGGCCAACUACGUG
rnacentral:rRNA from 1 species